UUCAAGGAUCAUAUGGGAGUUCCAUUACUUAUGGAACCCAAUUUUGGUGAUUACAGCUGUCAGUUCAAAUUCGGAGUUCUUGCUUCACCCCAUGAGGACGAUAGUGUCUUGAAGGAGCCUUGCUUGGAAAUAUGUCCGAAUGCAGCAAAACGAAGAAUAGUUGCCUGAAAUAUAGAUGUAACUACGUGCCCGAAGACAUAACUUCUGGUCAGGGGCUUUCAGAGCAUUGAUGUACAUGGCUUGAAAAUAAUAGUAAUACCAUGCACAUUAUAUUGCCCCAACUUGUCUUUGAACAAGGAACUGAGGUUAUGGAUAUUCUUGCUUCAUAGUUGUAAAUUACUUUUUAAGUACAUAUACAAAAUUUAACAAACA